GACGAACGCUGGCGGCGUGCUUAACACAUGCAAGUCGAACGAUGAAGCGCUGUCUUUUUGGUGGUGUGGAUUAGUGGCGAACGGGUGAGUAAUACGCGGGCAACCUGCCCCUCUGCUUCGGGAUAAGCUUUGGAAACGGGGUCUAAUACCGGAUGUGCCUGUCUGGUCGCAUGGCUGGGCGGGGAAAGAUGUUUUUCUGCGGGGGAUGGGCUCGGGCCUAUCAGCUUGUUGGUGGGGUGAGGCCUACCAAGGCGUCGACGGGUAGGCGGGCUGAGAAGGGGCGGCACUCUAGACUCAGGAAAGGCCAAAAUCCUUGGGAGGCAGAGUGGGGGUAUUGCACAAUGGGGCAAGCCUGAGCAGCGCCCCGCGUGGGGGAAUUAGGCUUUUGGGUUUUAACCCUUUGGGGGGGGACAGGCUCCGUUUUGGGGGGGGUUGAGGGACCCGUCAAAGAAGCGCCGGCUAACUACGUGCCAGCAGCCCCGGAAAUACGUAGGGGGCGAGGGUUGUCCCGGAAAUAUUAGGGUGUUAAGGGCUCCCAGGGGGGCUUGUCGGGCCUGCCGUUAAAACCCGGGGUCCAACUCCCCCCCGUCCAAGUGGGACCGGGCAGGCUGGAGUUCUCCAGGUUUGCCUUAAAAUCCCGGGGGUAACGGGGGAAUGCCCCGAAUUUCAGGAAAAAAAACCGAUGGGGAAGGCGGGCCCCUUGGCCCGUCACUUGACCCUUAGGGAGCGAAACCGGGGGGAGGAAACAGAAUUAGUUCCCCUUGUUAGUGCAAAGGCCAAUUCCCCCUUUGUGCCUCCUCCCGGGGGAACUCCUAGUUUAGGAGGGGCCCCCCCCGGGGGCUCUCAAUUCGCCCUAUAGGGAGCCGAUUACCGGCCUCCCUGGCCGAUUUUUAAAAAAU
rnacentral:rRNA from 1 species